rnacentral:lncRNA from 1 species
AGAGAACUAAGAUGAGCAUAAAUUUCCUCUAGCACUUGAGGGAAAACAUCGUCAGGAAGGAGACAGAAAGCUUGCCAUCCAUGUUUCUCCACCACGGAUGAAAUGGCUUUAGCAUACUCCAUCCCUAUCUUGAAAAUGAAAUCCCUUUUCUAAGCACAGAGGCUGUUUGGAAAUGUUUUGGUGGUACUUAGUUUCUGCUGCCUUGCUGAAGAAUGUACGAGGGUGUGAAAUAAUGGAAGUGGAUGGUGCUUGUCGAGCAAUGGAAAAGAAG